GACGAACGCUGGCGGCGUGCCUAAUACAUGCAAGUCGAGCGGACCAAACAGGAGCUUGCUCUUGUUUGGUUAGCGGCGGACGGGUGAGUAACACGUGGGUAACCUGCCCGUAAGACCGGGAUAACUCCGGGAAACCGGAGCUAAUACCGGAUAACACCGAAGACCGCAUGGUCUUUGGUUGAAAGGCGGCUUCGGCUGCCACUUACGGAUGGGCCCGCGGCGCAUUAGCUAGUUGGUGAGGUAACGGCUCACCAAGGCGACGAUGCGUAGCCGGCCUGAGAGGGUGACCGGCCACACUGGGACUGAGACACGGCCCAGACUCCUACGGGAGGCAGCAGUAGGGAAUCUUCCGCAAUGGACGAAAGUCUGACGGAGCGACGCCGCGUGAGCGAAGAAGGUCUUCGGAUCGUAAAGCUCUGUUGUUAGGGAAGAAGAAGCGCCGUUCGAAGAGGGCGGCGCGGUGACGGUACCUAACGAGAAAGCCCCGGCUAACUACGUGCCAGCAGCCGCGGUAAUACGUAGGGGGCGAGCGUUGUCCGGAAUUAUUGGGCGUAAAGCGCGCGCAGGCGGUCCCUUAAGUCUGAUGUGAAAGCCCACGGCUUAACCGUGGAGGGUCAUUGGAAACUGGGGGGCUUGAGUGCAGAAGAGGAGAGCGGAAUUCCACGUGUAGCGGUGAAAUGCGUAGAGAUGUGGAGGAACACCAGUGGCGAAGGCGGCUCUCUGGUCUGUAACUGACGCUGAGGCGCGAAAGCGUGGGGAGCAAACAGGAUUAAAUACCCUGGUAGUCCACGCCGUAAACGAUGAGUGCUAAGUGUUAGAGGGGUUUUCCCUUUAGUGCUGUAGCUAACGCGUUAAGCACUCCGCCUGGGGAGUACGGCCGCAAGGCUGAAACUCAAAGGAAUUGACGGGGGCCCGCACAAGCGGUGGAGCAUGUGGUUUAAUUCGAAGCAACGCGAAGAACCUUACCAGGUCUUGACAUCCCCUGACAACCCUGGAGACAGGGCGUUCCCCCCUUCGGGGGGGACAGGGUGACAGGUGGUGCAUGGUUGUCGUCAGCUCGUGUCGUGAGAUGUUGGGUUAAGUCCCGCAACGAGCGCAACCCUCGCCCCUAGUUGCCAGCAUUCAGUUGGGCACUCUAGGGGGACUGCCGGCUAAAAGUCGGAGGAAGGUGGGGAUGACGUCAAAUCAUCAUGCCCCUUAUGACCUGGGCUACACACGUGCUACAAUGGGCGGUACAAAGGGCUGCGAACCCGCGAGGGGGAGCGAAUCCCAAAAAGCCGCUCUCAGUUCGGAUUGCAGGCUGCAACUCGCCUGCAUGAAGCCGGAAUCGCUAGUAAUCGCGGAUCAGCAUGCCGCGGUGAAUAAAUUCCCGGGCCU
rnacentral:rRNA from 1 species